UACGGGGGGAGCAAGCGUUGUUCGGAUUUACUGGGCGUAAAGGGCGCGUAGGCGGUCAGCACGAGUCAGUUGUGAAAUCUCCGGGCUUAACUCGGAAAGGUCAACUGAUACUGUGCGACUAGAGUGCAGAAGGGGCAACUGGAAUUCUCGGUGUAGCGGUGAAAUGCGUAGAUAUCGAGAGGAACACCUGCGGCGAAGGCGGGUUGCUGGGCUGACACUGACGCUGAGGAGCGAAAGCCAGGGGAGCAAACGGG
rnacentral:rRNA from 1 species